UGUAAAGAUCUUUUAUGAGGGAAGAAGUUUAUUGACGGUACCUCAUGAAUAAGGACCUGCAAAACUCGUGCCAGCAGCAGCGGUAAUACGAGUGGUCCAAGCGUUAUCCGGAAUUAUUGGGCGUAAAGGAUGUGUAGGUGGUUAUGUUAGUCCAGUGUCUAACCUCUGAGCUCAACUUGGAGACAGCACUGGAAACGGCAUGGCUAGAGUAUAGUAGGGGUAAGCGGAACUCAUAGUGUAGGGGUGAAAUCCGUUGAUAUUAUGGGGAACACCAAAAGCGAAGGCAGCUUACUGGACUCUUACUGACACUGAAACAUGAAAGCGUGGGUAGCGAAUGGGAUUAGAUACCCCAGUAGUCCACGCCCUAAACGAUGUUCUCUCGCUAUGAAAAGUAUCGACCCUUUUCGUGGCUUAGCUAACGCGGUAAGAGAACCGCCUGGGAAGUACGAUCGCAAGAUUAAAACUCAAAGGAAUAGACGGGGACCUGCACAAGCAGUGGAUUAUGUGGUUUAAUUCGAUGGUAAACGAAGAACCUCACCAGGAUUUGAAACCCAACUGAAAGCUCUCAGAAACGAGAGCCCUCGCAAGACAGUUGGACAGGUGAUGCAUGGCCGUCGUCAGUUCGUGGUUUGAACUGUUCCCUUCAGUGGGGUAACGAACGCAACCCUUAUCGUGUGUUACAAGUGUCACACGAGACUGCCCCGUAAUUUGUUCAGAAGAACAUAGUGUAUUUUGUAGGAGAUCCUAAAGGAUAAUUGCCUGCUAGUAAGUGACGUUGAGACAUGGAAACAUGGUGCGCAACGGGACCGUCCAUACGAAAGUGUGUAGGCGGAAAGAUUAGCUAGGGACUCCUCCUUAUCGUAACUGAUAAGGUUUCCUACAAAAUACAUUAUGAACUUCUUGUGAAUAAAUUACGGGGAGGAAGGAGAGGAUGACGCCAGGUCAGCAUGUCCCUUU
rnacentral:rRNA from 1 species